AACGAACGCUGGCGGCAUGCCUAACACAUGCAAGUCGAACGAGACCUUCGGGUCUAGUGGCGCACGGGUGCGUAACGCGUGGGAACCUGCCCUUAGGUUCGGAAUAACUCCCCGAAAGGGGUGCUAAUACCGGAUAAUGUCUUCGGACCAAAGAUUUAUCGCCUUUGGAUGGGCCCGCGUUGGAUUAGCUAGUUGGUAGGGUAAAAGCCUACCAAGGCGACGAUCCAUAGCUGGUCUGAGAGGAUGAUCAGCCACACUGGGACUGAGACACGGCCCAGAAUCCUACGGGAGGCAGCAGUGGGGUAUAUUAGACAAUGGGCGAAAGCCUGAUCCAGCAAUGCCGCGUAAGUGAUGAAGGCCUUAGGGUUGUAAAGCUCUUUUACCCGGGAUGAGAAUGACAGUACCGGGAGAAUAAGCUCCGGCUAACUCCGUG
rnacentral:rRNA from 1 species